CUGAGCUGAAGUCUAAUCUUGUGACUGCCAACAGCCUGCAAGAGGGAAAUACUGUAUUGAAAUCAGCAAAACUACCCAAAUAUAUUCAGCAGCAUGCAUCAGUGAUUCUAUGCAUGCCACAGAGACCAGGAAAGAAGUAGUGAAGCCUAGAGAAUAUACUGAUUUAUGAUGAAAAUUCAUGGUGUGUCUACAAAUCUUGAGUGCUCUGUUCUGUGUAAAAGUAAAUAAAGAAACCAUGAUGCUUUCUGGGGAAAAAAGGAGAGAGAAGAGAGGAGAGAGGAGAGAGAAAGAAGAAGAAGAAAGAAGAAAGAAGAAAGAAGAAGAAAGAAGAAAGAAGAAAGAAGAAAGAAGAAAGAAGAAAGAAGAAAGAAGAAAGAAGAAAGAAGAAAGAAGAAAGAAGAAAGAAGAAAGAAGAAAGAAGAAAGAAGAAAAAGGAAAGAAGAAAGAAGAGAUUUAUGAUUCAUUCACUUAGGUCAGAGUCUUGAAAGCAUCCCCUGAUCUGGAAACACUGGGCAAUAUGCCUGUGAACACUCACAGAAGUCAUACCUUCACAGUAUUCUACUUCAAGAAAUUUAAAAUUGUGUAGUAGUGUAGAGUAUGAAUGACUAACAAUGAAACCCCAGAAGUUUUGCAGAAGAAAGGAAAUACACUUUGGGAAAGGAAUAGGGCAGGGCAGGGCAAGGCAAGGAAAGACAAAGACAGGCAAGGCAAGGCAAGGCAAUCUGUACAUCUUGAAUAUCUUAUGUUUUACUUGACUGCAAAAGAAGCUUACUUUUCAGCAUAUGCUCGGAAGCUUAAGCUUCAUUGCAGCCAGCGUUGCUGAGAAUUGGAACUGAGAGGUCCAGAAAAAGAUUUAAAAUAUUUUUCUACAUCUUUGGAUAGAUGCUUUGGUUAUUUUUUCCUGUUGUCAUAUGUCCACCUGUCCAUAUUUGAUCAAAGAAAAAUGGAUCAUAUUUAAUAUCAAAAUGGAGUUUUCCCCCAUAAAGUCAACAAUCUGAAGC
rnacentral:lncRNA from 1 species